rnacentral:tRNA from 1 species
GCGACUGUAGUCUAGUGGUAGGAUCUGACCUUGCCAAGGUUAGGACCCGGGUCCGAAUCCCGGCGGUCGCA